UACGAAGGGGGCUAGCGUUGCUCGGAAUCACUGGGCGUAAAGCGCACGUAGGCGGAUUGUUAAGUCAGGGGUGAAAUCCUGGAGCUCAACUCCAGAACUGCCUUUGAUACUGAAGAUCUUGAGUCCGGGAGAGGUGAGUGGAACUGCGAGUGUAGAGGUGAAAUUCGUAGAUAUUCGCAAGAACACCAGUGGCGAGGGCGGCUCACUGGCCCGGUACUGACGCUGAGGUGCGAAAGCGUGGGGAGCAAACAGG
rnacentral:rRNA from 1 species